rnacentral:rRNA from 1 species
AUUGAACGCUGGCGGCAUGCUUUACACAUGCAAGUCGAACGGUAACAGGUUAAGCUGACGAGUGGCGAACGGGUGAGUAAUGCAUCGGAACGUGCCCGAUCGUGGGGGAUAACGCAGCGAAAGCUGCGCUAAUACCGCAUACGAUCUGAGGAUGAAAGCGGGGGACCGUAAGGCCUCGCGCGAUCGGAGCGGCCGAUGUCAGAUUAGGUAGUUGGUGGGGUAAAGGCUCACCAAGCCAACGAUCUGUAGCUGGUCUGAGAGGACGACCAGCCACACUGGGACUGCGACACGGCCCAGACUCCUACGGGAGGCAGCAGUGGGGAAUUUUGGACAAUGGGCGAAAGCCUGAUCCAGCAAUGCCGCGUGCAGGAAGAAGGCCUUCGGGUUGUAAACUGCUUUUGUACGGAGCGAAAAGGUCCCCUCUAAUACAGGGGGCUCAUGACGGUACCGUAAGAAUAAGCACCGGCUAACUACGUGCCAGCAGCCGCAGUAA